AGCGUACACGGUGGAUGCCCUGGCAGUCAGAGGCGAUGAAGGACGUGCUAAUCUGCGAUAAGCGUCGGUAAGGUGAUAUGAACCGUUAUAACCGGCGAUUUCCGAAUGGGGAAACCCAGUGUGAUUCGUCACACUAUCAUUAACUGAAUCCAUAGGUUAAUGAGGCGAACCGGGGGAACUGAAACAUCUAAGUACCCCGAGGAAAAGAAAUCAACCGAGAUUCCCCCAGUAGCGGCGAGCGAACGGGGAGCAGCCCAGAGCCUGAAUCAGUGUGUGUGUUAGUGGAAGCGUCUGGAAAGGCGUGCGAUACAGGGUGACAGCCCCGUACACAAAAAUGCACAUACUGUGAGCUCGAUGAGUAGGGCGGGACACGUGGUAUCCUGUCUGAAUAUGGGGGGACCAUCCUCCAAGGCUAAAUACUCCUGACUGACCGAUAGUGAACCAGUACCGUGAGGGAAAGGCGAAAAGAACCCCGGCGAGGGGAGUGAAAAAGAACCUGAAACCGUGUACGUACAAGCAGUGGGAGCACAGAGCAAUCUGUGUGACUGCGUACCUUUUGUAUAAUGGGUCAGCGACUUAUAUUCUGUAGCAAGGUUAACCGAAUAGGGGAGCCGAAGGGAAACCGAGUCUUAACUGGGCGUUAAGUUGCAGGGUAUAGACCCGAAACCCGGUGAUCUAGCCAUGGGCAGGUUGAAGGUUGGGUAACACUAACUGGAGGACCGAACCGACUAAUGUUGAAAAAUUAGCGGAUGACUUGUGGCUGGGGGUGAAAGGCCAAUCAAACCGGGAGAUAGCUGGUUCUCCCCGAAAGCUAUUUAGGUAGCGCCUCGUGAAUUCAUCUCCGGGGGUAGAGCACUGUUUCGGCAAGGGGGUCAUCCCGACUUACCAACCCGAUGCAAACUGCGAAUACCGGAGAAUGUUAUCACGGGAGACACACGGCGGGUGCUAACGUCCGUCGUGAAGAGGGAAACAACCCAGACCGCCAGCUAAGGUCCCAAAGUCAUGGUUAAGUGGGAAACGAUGUGGGAAGGCCCAGACAGCCAGGAUGUUGGCUUAGAAGCAGCCAUCAUUUAAAGAAAGCGUAAUAGCUCACUGGUCGAGUCGGCCUGCGCGGAAGAUGUAACGGGGCUAAACCAUGCACCGAAGCUGCGGCAGCGACGCUUAUGCGUUGUUGGGUAGGGGAGCGUUCUGUAAGCCUGCGAAGGUGUGCUGUGAGGCAUGCUGGAGGUAUCAGAAGUGCGAAUGCUGACAUAAGUAACGAUAAAGCGGGUGAAAAGCCCGCUCGCCGGAAGACCAAGGGUUCCUGUCCAACGUUAAUCGGGGCAGGGUGAGUCGACCCCUAAGGCGAGGCCGAAAGGCGUAGUCGAUGGGAAACAGGUUAAUAUUCCUGUACUUGGUGUUACUGCGAAGGGGGGACGGAGAAGGCUAUGUUGGCCGGGCGACGGUUGUCCCGGUUUAAGCGUGUAGGCUGGUUUUCCAGGCAAAUCCGGAAAAUCAAGGCUGAGGCGUGAUGACGAGGCACUACGGUGCUGAAGCAACAAAUGCCCUGCUUCCAGGAAAAGCCUCUAAGCAUCAGGUAACAUCAAAUCGUACCCCAAACCGACACAGGUGGUCAGGUAGAGAAUACCAAGGCGCUUGAGAGAACUCGGGUGAAGGAACUAGGCAAAAUGGUGCCGUAACUUCGGGAGAAGGCACGCUGAUAUGUAGGUGAAGUCCCUCGCGGAUGGAGCUGAAAUCAGUCGAAGAUACCAGCUGGCUGCAACUGUUUAUUAAAAACACAGCACUGUGCAAACACGAAAGUGGACGUAUACGGUGUGACGCCUGCCCGGUGCCGGAAGGUUAAUUGAUGGGGUUAGCGCAAGCGAAGCUCUUGAUCGAAGCCCCGGUAAACGGCGGCCGUAACUAUAACGGUCCUAAGGUAGCGAAAUUCCUUGUCGGGUAAGUUCCGACCUGCACGAAUGGCGUAAUGAUGGCCAGGCUGUCUCCACCCGAGACUCAGUGAAAUUGAACUCGCUGUGAAGAUGCAGUGUACCCGCGGCAAGACGGAAAGACCCCGUGAACCUUUACUAUAGCUUGACACUGAACAUUGAGCCUUGAUGUGUAGGAUAGGUGGGAGGCUUUGAAGUGUGGACGCCAGUCUGCAUGGAGCCGACCUUGAAAUACCACCCUUUAAUGUUUGAUGUUCUAACGUUGACCCGUAAUCCGGGUUGCGGACAGUGUCUGGUGGGUAGUUUGACUGGGGCGGUCUCCUCCUAAAGAGUAACGGAGGAGCACGAAGGUUGGCUAAUCCUGGUCGGACAUCAGGAGGUUAGUGCAAUGGCAUAAGCCAGCUUGACUGCGAGCGUGACGGCGCGAGCAGGUGCGAAAGCAGGUCAUAGUGAUCCGGUGGUUCUGAAUGGAAGGGCCAUCGCUCAACGGAUAAAAGGUACUCCGGGGAUAACAGGCUGAUACCGCCCAAGAGUUCAUAUCGACGGCGGUGUUUGGCACCUCGAUGUCGGCUCAUCACAUCCUGGGGCUGAAGUAGGUCCCAAGGGUAUGGCUGUUCGCCAUUUAAAGUGGUACGCGAGCUGGGUUUAGAACGUCGUGAGACAGUUCGGUCCCUAUCUGCCGUGGGCGCUGGAGAACUGAGGGGGGCUGCUCCUAGUACGAGAGGACCGGAGUGGACGCAUCACUGGUGUUCGGGUUGUCAUGCCAAUGGCACUGCCCGGUAGCUAAAUGCGGAAGAGAUAAGUGCUGAAAGCAUCUAAGCACGAAACUUGCCCCGAGAUGAGUUCUCCCUGACUCCUUGA
rnacentral:rRNA from 1 species